rnacentral:lncRNA from 1 species
GCCACUGUGCGGACAAACGCUGUGGUUCCGACGUCGCCCUCGCUUUGAAACAACACCGGGAACCAACCGUCGGUUCACCCGGAUCCACCAGAGCUCACUGACUCCACACCAUCACCACCGCAAACGUUUUUAACACAAGUGAUCCCAAUUUCGGAGAGCAUCAAUCGACUGAUCGAGAUAUCAUCCGUCACCAUUCAUCGCAAUCACCGAGAGGAAAACUUCGCGUGAACCAUCACCGUUAACCAUGGUCGAACUUCGAUCGUCCUCC